AAGAGACUUCUGCAAAAAGUUCAAGUCGUACGAGGACACACCCACUGUGUUACUGGUCACGACCGUUAACACGAAGACUCUCGGAGGUACUCUGGCCUUGACCUCAAUGUCCUCUUCGCGUGUGUUUAUGGACUACGAUGUCCAACCUACCAUAGAUUACUUCAGUUGGUUAAUGCAGAGGUAGUCACCAAACGUGAGACAAUGACU